CUUGGGUUAAAGAGGAAGGUGUUGAUUCUGCCAGCUGGAGCACCUGGGGGUCUGAGUUCCAUGUGCUUUAUCUGUUUCAGGCAUGUUCUCUUCGGAGGUCAGGCUCAGACCCUGUGCCAGAUGUUUAACCCUGGAACCUUGCAGUUUCCUUUACAUGGUGUCUGUCCAACAAAGCCGGCGGAGCUCUCCGCAGUCACGACGCGUCUCUAGAAACCAUCUGCUCGCUUCCAGAUGCCAGCCCGAAGCUCAGUGGGCGCUGGGCGACCCCCGACCAGGGAGUGCACCUGUGGGCUCUUGUCUGGCAGCCCUGCACCUGCGCCUGUUUUCUGAGCGACUAUGACAAAAACACCGUGAUCAUCAUCAUCAAAGACACACAGGGGUGCUGUCAGCGCCACCUCC
rnacentral:lncRNA from 1 species